rnacentral:rRNA from 1 species
AUGCCCGCGUUGUUGAGCGGAGUUUCCGCAUCCAGCAACAGAGGCGGCAACUCUUAUCCAUCCCCAUUUUCCCUUGACCCUGUGUUUGUACGAACAGAAAUGAUAUGUUCUCUUUUCCCCUUUGGUAUAACUGGUAGGAUUUGCCUGAAGUCACUUCCCAAGACUAUUGUCAUUCCUCCAAAUGGUCUAUGCUCUGCGUCCUCAUAUGUGAAUCGAAGUGAAAUUGUAACCUUUCAACUGCAGGCUCUCUGUACUGAAGAGGAAACUGAAAUAUGCGCCAUGCGGCUUCACAUCCAGAUAUGUACCAGGCAUCAAGUGUUGCCAUCAUCUCGCCUUAUAUAUACUAGAUAG